ensembl:lncRNA
GGAGACGUCACGCAUAGUAUAAAUGACGUCACAUCCGGGCAGCUAGGUCUGUUGAGCAGUCGGAGCACCACGUGAAAGUCAUGAGCGUGAUGGAGUCCAGUGAGGGGACCCCGUGCAGUGAAGGAACGAGUCUGCAGUCAUGGACGUGAUGUGGGAGUCCCGUGAGCCAGUGAGGAGACGCCGUGCCGCGAAGGAACGAGUCUGCAGGACCGCAGAGAUGAAUUCCUCAGACCUGACUUGACAGCUGGGACUCAACUAUGACUGAGUUGCUAAAGUAAGUUUAGUCAUAUAGCUGGUGGUGACGGUGCAUUGGGUGCGUGCAGACCUUUCCAGCGAGGCUCAGCCUGCCGUGGCUCCGUCCUUUCCUGUAGUGUCUGCUAGAGAGACGUGAGGCUGUUUGAGGCCCGGCCGUGACUCUUUAUGGCCUGGUUAUAGGUAAACCUCCGACAUUUACUGUCUUGUGCUUCCAGACGGAUGAUGUUCUCAGCUUGCUGCUCAGUUGUCUCUUCACUCUUUAAUCCUGUUUUUUUGCUGCACAGGAACAGAUUCCAGUCAAAUCUGAGGCCUUGAGCUGCCGUUGAGUCCACUUACGCCAUUGUGCACAGCUUCCAGCUGGGUUCAAUGAGCCGUUUCAUGGUCUUCUGCUGUGUUGAACCGGAGAACUAAAAGUGUCCAUAAGCAGAACUUUGACGCAGGUGAGCAUGCAGUAUUCCAACAGGCUGAUGGCUUAUUUUUUACAGUAAAAAAUUGAUUAUUUUAUUUGUUUGCAGAUUUCAUCAGAGUUGGAGAGUUCAUCUGCUGAAGGAAAACAAAUGUAGCAUUUCUGUGUACAGUUGCUGUUAUUCCGCUUCUAAAUAUAAAAAACAUUCUUGUAAUGGCUUCCCUGGUCUUUCUCACGUUGGGUUUAGUGCAAUGAUGUUAGUUGAUGUGCUGUUGGCUCAAUGUUUUGGUGAGUUCUGCAUUAGACUGUUAAGGCCACUCGCCUUUGACAAUGCAGAGACCAGACGUUUAACUUUCACUUACUCAACAAGAACACUGUACGGCACCGAAGAACUUCAUACAUUACAGCACUGGUGCCGCUCACAUGCGCUGAUGGACACGUUGGUCAGACAACGAGGGACAAGUGGAGGCUCUGCUAGUUAAAAGGAUUUUUGGGCCAAUGUUGGAUUGCGUUCAAAUAACUGUCCUUGCUGUCUUCAUAAAGGUUUACACAUUUUAUAUUUCAAUAUGAUUACGAAGUUGACAAAUUAAACCUUGACCUACAUGUAUAGUAUCCAAUAAAUUCUAGUUUGUAGUAAACUCUACAUUAACAGUAGAGGACCAAUUUAGUUGAGGCUGAUUCUCUCAACGGACGUGCUGCACAUAUGUAACGGAGUGCCACAUUGAGGUACAAAAUAUGGG